GUUGAAGAACGUAGCGAAAUGCGAUAAGUAAUGUGAAUUGCAGAAUUCAGUGAAUCAUCGAAUCUUUGAACGCACAUUGCGCCCGCCAGUAUUCUGGCGGGCAUGCCUGUUCGAGCGUCAUUUCAACCAUCAAGCCCUGCUUGCGUUGGGGUCCUGCGGCUGCCCGCAGGCCCUGAAAACCAGUGGCGGGCUCGCUAGUCACACCGAGCGCAGUAAUACAUCUCGCUUUGGGCGUGCGGCGGGUUCUUGCCGUUAAACACCCCCUUUUUACCAAGGUUGACCUCGGAUCAGGUAGGAAUACCCGCUGAACUUAAGCAUAUCAAUAAGCGGAGGA
rnacentral:misc_RNA from 1 species